rnacentral:rRNA from 1 species
UACAGGGAAUAACUAUUUAAAGCUUAAAAAUUAAAAUUAUUUUAAUUUGUGAAGAAACAAUUAUUAAAAUUAAGGACAAGAAGACCCUAAGAAUUUUAAAAUAAUUAAUUUCUUAUAAGAAAUUAAUUAUUUUUAGUUGGGGCAACUAGAAAAUAUUAUAAACUUUUUAUAUAAUAAAAUGACCCAUUAUUAAUGAUUAUUUGAGAAAAAUACUCUAGGGAUAACAGCGUAAUAAUUUUUGAUAGAACCUAUAGACAAAAUAGUUUGCGACCUCGAUGUUGGAUUAGGAUACUUUUUUAAUGAAGAUGUUAAAAAAAGAAGUUUGUUCAACUUUUAAAGUCCUACUUGAUCU